UACAGAGGUCCCAAGCGUUGUUCGGAUUCACUGGGCGUAAAGGGUGCGUAGGCGGUCGGGUAAGUCUGAUGUGAAAUCUCCAAGCCUAACUUGGAAACUGCAUUGGAUACUAUCCGGCUAGAGGAAUGGAGGGGAGACUGGAAUACUUGGUGUAGCAGUGAAACGCGUAGAUAUCAAGUGGAACACCAGUGGGGAAGGCGAGUCUCUGGACAUUUCCUGACACUGAGGCACGAAAGCCAGGGGAGCAAACGGG
rnacentral:rRNA from 1 species